UGCUUCUCUUGAGAGCGGCGGACGGGUGAGUAAUGCCUAGGAAUCUGCCUGGUAGUGGGGGAUAACGUCCGGAAACGGACGCUAAUACCGCAUACGUCCUACGGGAGAAAGCAGGGGACCUUCGGGCCUUGCGCUAUCAGAUGAGCCUAGGUCGGAUUAGCUAGUUGGUGGGGUAAUGGCUCACCAAGGCGACGAUCCGUAACUGGUCUGAGAGGAUGAUCAGUCACACUGGAACUGAGACACGGUCCAGACUCCUACGGGAGGCAGCAGUGGGGAAUAUUGGACAAUGGGCGAAAGCCUGAUCCAGCCAUGCCGCGUGUGUGAAGAAGGUCUUCGGAUUGUAAAGCACUUUAAGUUGGGAGGAAGGGCAGUAAAUUAAUACUUUGCUGUUUUGACGUUACCGACAGAAUAAGCACCGGCUAACUCUGUGCCAGCAGCCGCGGUAAUACAGAGGGUGCAAGCGUUAAUCGGAAUUACUGGGCGUAAAGCGCGCGUAGGUGGUUCGUUAAGUUGGAUGUGAAAUCCCCGGGCUCAACCUGGGAACUGCAUUCAAAACUGACGAGCUAGAGUAUGGUAGAGGGUGGUGGAAUUUCCUGUGUAGCGGUGAAAUGCGUAGAUAUAGGAAGGAACACCAGUGGCGAAAGCGACCACCUGGACUGAUACUGACACUGAGUGCGAAAGCGUGGGGAGCAACAGGAUUAGAUACCCUGGUAGUCCACGCCGUAAACGAUGUCAACUAGCCGUUGGGAGCCUUGAGCUCU
rnacentral:rRNA from 1 species